GAGCCUACAGAGGCAGGCAGGCCUCCUUGAGCUGUGGUGGGCUCCGCCCAGUUGGAGCUUCCUGGCUGCUUUGUUUACCUAAUCAAGCCUGGGCAAUGGCGGGCGCCCCUCCCCCCGCCUCGCUGCCGCCUUGCAGUUUGAUCUCAGACUGCUGUGCUAGCAAUCAGCGAGACUCCGUGGGCGUAGGACCCUCCGAGCCAGAGAUGGGAUCUUACUACAUUGCCCAGGCUGAAGUGCAGUGGCUAUUAACAGCUGUAAUCAUAAUGCAUUGCAGCUUUGAAUUCCUGGGCUUGAGCGACCUCCCCACCUUAGCCUCCUGAGUAGCUGAGACUACAGAUGUGCCUUGCUUCUCCUUCAUUUUCUGCCAUGACUGUAAGUUCCCUGAGGCCUUCCCAUCCAUGUGGAACUGCAUUCUAAUAUAUGCAUUCUUCAUAACAACUGUGUGAAACAUAUUAAUAUCCUCAUUGUUAACGAUGAAGAAACUAAAUCUCAGGAAGAAAAACUAAGUGAAGACAAAAGAAGGAUUUGAACUGAGGUUUGUCAGACUCUCGGGACCAUGCUGUUGAAACCACUAAACCACGCUGCCUCUGGGUCACUUGAUUAUUCUGGGAGAUUCUGGGAGUCUUUUCUCCAACACUCCAGUGGCAUCUGACUAUGUGAGCUGAUAAGAUCUAUAGAUCUACUGAUGGCCCUUUGCAGGUGUGACCCUGAGCUCUGCUGGAUUUCUUGUGAAGAAAACUCCAAGGAAUGGAUGAAUGCCUGGAAACUUACUGCUGGAAGUCAUAAGGCAAUGACAAGAAAAUAGCAUAUCAUUGGAAGACUUGACCCAUGGGAUCUAUAAAUUCCUAGGGAAGCUCCUUACUAUAAUUUGUUUGGUUUCUAUGGAAUCCAACAAGAAAAGAAAUAGCGAAACAUGUGGGUUGUCUCCUCUUUGGCACUAAGCCUGGGAGAAUAUGAAGAUAUCUGAAAACAAAGAGGCUUCCUUCAGGUGUUCAGGAGGGGGCUAACACUGCCUACUUGUAUGUCAAGGGCCCAUGGGAGUAGACACUCCCAGAAUGCUACCACUUGGAUUCUCCAGGGAUCAUAUGUGAUACCAAUCAGCUGACAAAGAAAAUAACAACCCAUCUAAGGGGAUUCAGCAGCUAGAAAGAAAAUGAGUAUGCCAAGCAAACUGAAUACACGACCAGCAAAAUAGAACUUCAAAAGGAGACAAAAUACAACAUUCUCUCUCUCUCUGUGUGUGUGUGUGUGUGUGUGUGUGUGUGUGUUUGCAUGUAAAUAACAAAAUUCAAGUUCUGGACACAAUUUUUAGAGCUAAACACAUGACCUUCCAACUAAACUUUUUAUUAGAUAUCAAAGAAGCUGGUCACUGUUGAGGUGAAGAUCAAGUGCAAGAUACAUUUUGAGGCACAGAGCAAAAAUGUAAAGAAUCAGAAAAAGACAAGAGACUUGAGGAUUUAAUCCAAACAACUGAACAGCUAAAAACAAGAGCUACAGGGGCAGAAGAAGAAAAAGUUUAAGAAAGAGACAGUAUAUUAUUUUCUCUGAGAAGAGGUAAAGCUGGAAACCUGUUGUAAGCAAGAUUUAUUGAAUUUUCUCAUCAUAGUCUUAAAAGAGCAGUACUCCAAUAGGUCUUGUUUACUAAAGGAAGAUUUGUUGAAAGAAUCAAACAACUGAUGGAGGCUGAUGAAAAGAAUACAUGACGAUCAAUGACACUUGGUACACACGUUCACACUCACAGACACAUACACAAACGUUGGAUAGGAAAAGGCUGGCUGGCAACAUGUGGCAACAGUGCUCUGUAAGGACUCUUGAAGUAGAAUAAAUAGUCUUACUGAAAGAGGAAUUCAGAUUAUUAUUUUUAAAAACUUGGAACAAGAGUUCUAGGCUGACUCAGCAAAAACUAGGAGCCAGGCUAGGGGAGGGGAUAAGUAAAAAUCCUUCCAAAGGAUUCCUAUCUGGGGAAAGGAGGAGAAGGCCAAGCAUUUAAGAUCUCAUAUUACAGAGGACAGGAGAGGGAGCACAUUGAGAAGAAAUAUAGCAUCUUGGUUGUAUAGUGUGUUCUGGUGUGAAAAUGUGCAUUUAAUGUUCAAAAAUAGUGUGAGAAAAGAUAAUCAUUGAUGGAAUAGUACCAUAAAAGUCCCAAAUUAACAAGAAAAAAAAAAAAAGAAAAACCACAAUAGAUAAUAGCAUGAUCAGCAAAGAUAAGGGAAAGAAAAAAAAAAGAAGUAAUAUAAAAUAAAUAAUUAAAAUAAAGUGUAAAGGAAGACAUAAAAUCAAGUACAAUGGUUACUAUAUCAUUUGUAGGCAGAAUUUUCCCUUUGAAAGACUGAGACGUCAGAUUGGGUUAAAGCAAAUUUAACCCAUGUAUAUGCUAUUUAAAAGAAAAUAAGAUAAAGGUGAACAAAGAUUGAAGAUAAAGAGGUGAAAAAAGAGGUAUCAUACAAAUGCAAGCUAAUAGAAAGUUAUAAUAUUAGUGGCAGCUGAUAUAUUUAAACUUAAAAGCACUAUAGAGGAUAAAAAAUAUUAUAUAAUGAUAAAACUGAUACUACUUGAAGCAAUGAUAAUCAUAAACCUAUAUUUACCCACCAAUUAAAAAACAUCAACUAGCUAAAUACAUAAAGCAAAAACAAUUAAAAAUUUGAGAACUUUUAAAAAGUUAUAAUAGGUAACACUAAUUUAAGGAAGUGAUAGCUCUCUCUAAGAAUUGGACAGAUUAAAUAUGCAAAAAAUUAGUAAAAUCAUAAAGCAAUUGAAGAGUAUCAUACAUCGGUAAGAAUUUGUAAAAAGCUUCCAUCUUUCAAAUAGAGAAUCACAAUUACAAAAUAAUCAUAGUAAUAAUAAUAAUGGUGAUAAUUAUGUACUUGACUAACAAAGGAAAACCUUACAAAUUUUUAAAAGUUGGGUGUGAGCCAUGAGCCAUGGUCUUCUAUCAAGUAUAAUUUGUGACAGAGGAAAAUGAGAGGUGACUAAAGAAAGGUUAUUUCUUAGAAAUAAAAUUUUAAAAAGCACUCUUGAAUUACCAUUGUAGAAAGGGAAAGUCAAAUGGAAAUUAUUAUUUAUCUAAGAACUACAAAGGGAGACUCUUUAUUCUGUAACUUACUACUCCUAAAAU
rnacentral:lncRNA from 10 species